rnacentral:rRNA from 1 species
UACAGAGGGGGCAAGCGUUGUUCGGAAUUACUGGGCGUAAAGGGCGCGUAGGCGGCCUUCUAAGUCGAACGUGAAAUCCCCGGGCUCAACCCGGGAGCUGCGUCCGAUACUGGAAGGCUUGAAUCCGGGAGAGGGAUGCGGAAUUCCAGGUGUAGCGGUGAAAUGCGUAGAUAUCUGGAGGAACACCGGUGGCGAAGGCGGCAUCCUGGACCGGUAUUGACGCUGAGGCGCGAAAGCGUGGGGAUCAAACAGG